rnacentral:pre_miRNA from 1 species
GGCUUUUUGAGUCUGUGCAAAGAUUUCGUCAAACACCAACCUAUCGGGGUUGAUCAAACUUCCAAGAUAAGUGAAGUU